AAUUCGAUUGAGUUUGAUCAUGGCUCAGGACGAACGCUUGCGGCGUGCCUAAGAAAUGCAAGUCGAACGGUGUAGCAAUACAUAGUGGCGAACGGUCGCGUAACACGUAAGCAACCUGCCCGAAAGUGGGGGACAACAUCCCGAAAGGGGUGCUAAUACCGCAUGUGGUUGUUUCUUCGCAUGAAGAAACAUCUAAAGCCUUGUGCGCUUUCGGAUGGGCUUGCGGCCUAUCAGGUAGUUGGUGGGGUAACGGCCUACCAAGCCUUUGACGGGUAGCUGGUCUGAGAGGAUGUCCAGCCGGAUUGGGACUGAGAUACGGCCCAGACUCCUACGGGGGGCAGCAAUUAGGAAUCUUGCACAAUGGGGGAAACCCUGAUGCAGCGACGCCGCGUGAAGGAUGAAGGAUUUCGGUCUGUAAACUUCUUUUAUCGGGGACGAAGAAUGUGACGGUACCCGAAGAAUAAGCCCCGGCUAACUACGUGCCAGCAGCCGCGGUAAUACGUAGGGGGCGAGCGUUGUCCGAAGUUACUGGGCGUAAAGCGCGCGUAGGCGGCCAUUUAAGUCUGGGGUGAAAGGUUCAACGCUCAACGUGAACAGUGCCUUGGAUACUGGGUGGCUUGAGUUUGGAAGGGGAAAGCGGAAUUCCGGGUGUAGCGGUGAAAUGCGUAGAUAUCCGGAGGAACACCGAUGGCGAAG
rnacentral:rRNA from 1 species